AUGGGAAACCAGGUCCCAGGGAAAGGAGCUGAAGGAAGUGGGAAAGGCGGAGGCCAGAGAAGAGGAGGUCGUGAGAGCCGGCCUCCAUCUGUGCAGAAACGGCCGGUUCCCGUGUGCUGUGCAGUUCCGGAAGGGAGCAGCAGGACCGGACACAAGGAAGCUGGUUUUCCUCAAACUGAGGAAGCCCAUCUUGCAAGUCAGGGCACCCGGGUGCUGGGAAGGCGGCCCCGGGGUGGCGAGGGUUGUCAGGGCUGUGACGGGGAGCCGCUUGGAGCCUCCGCGGCAGGAUCAGGAGCCUCAGGUGGAGUCCCAGUCGCGGCUCCACUGCGGACCUGCCAAGCCCAGAGUUUCCAUCUGUCCAGAAGGGGCAACGACGCCCUCCUUGCAGGGAGAUCGAAUGAGGGUCAUUGGAUGGUGCUGGUUAACGUGUGCCGGCCCUCGGGCUGAGGCAGCCUGCAGAGUCUCCCGUCAAUGAUUAUUGCAUUACAGCGGCCCUGACUCUAAGAGGCCGCCUACUAAAACAUGCACCUGCAAUUGCAAAAGAGCUUGGAGGGAGGGGACAAACCAAACGCAACUGGGUUAGGAUUAGGAUUUCACAAAUAUUGUUGUGUGCGUGUGUGGGGGGGUGCAGUUUAGAAUCAAGGAGAUGUGGUGAAUGGAGACGAGGCAGGAAGCAGACCAGACCUCGGAGAGCGUAGUGCAGUGGUUCUCAAAGUUUGGUCCAAGGGCACCCACCACUGGGGAGCUCCAGGACCCUUUCAAGGGGUCUGCAGACCAAAACUAUUUCCAUAAUAAUAGUAAGACGUUAUUUAUUUUUCUUCUUCUCAUUCUCUCUUGAAUAUAGAGUGGAAUCUUCCAGGCGUGUGCACUACUGUAAGAGAGUAAACACGGAAUCCUCUAUCAAGCCAGACGCUAAAGGUGUUUGCAAAAAUGUAAAAGAAUGCCACUCUUCUCACUAAAUUUGCUUUGCUUUGUUUUGGAAAAUAUAGGGUGGUGUGUUUUUUUUCAUUUAAAAUGUUAUUAUGCUAACAUGUUAUGGAGUUCUUACUUUUAAGUGAACUAAUAGAAAUAUUUCUGAAAUUUUUGUUUUGAUUUCUAAUACGGUAAAUAUCAAUACAUACAACCCCAAUACACAAAGCAUCUUUGGGGUCCUCAGUAAUGUAAAGGGGUUCUGAGACCACCAAGUUUGAGAAUGCUGGUCUAGAGCCAGCCCUGGCCACAGCAUAAAGCCAUUGAGAUGUGACAUGGGGACGCUGGCGACAACUCUGCACUCGGAGCAGGAUAGGAGGGUUUGUGGGCUGUGCCACACCAGGCCCACGUGGCCCUGGCAAGUCGCUUCAUCUUUCUGGGCCUCCAUCUCCUCGUCCUCCGGGAGGAAGAGAAAUUUCAUCCAGAGGCAUGGAGAGGACCUGAGAGAGGCCGAGCGUGGGGACGGGGGGAGCGUAGC
rnacentral:lncRNA from 1 species